rnacentral:lncRNA from 1 species
CCCCCCCCCCUUGUCCUCAAAUUUUAAGCCGUUGUAAUUUUUUGCUCAAAUUUUACGUUGCUGUAAGUUAUCGUAAUUUGUUACAAUCGAGUCUUGCGGUCCAGUUAAGUUGGCUAAAUAAUGAUCUCUUGGGGGUGCAAUAGUGUCACUGUUACCGACAUUGUGUCGAUAACUAAGAAGGCACAUUACUGUAGAUUAUGUGUUAAUAGCUAAUAUGUGAAAUUAAUGUCAUAUCGAUAUUAUAUUAAUAUUCAAUCAACUAAAUUAGAUUAAACAGUUUAGAAAAUUUGAGUUAGAAACUAUAACAAAGUAAAGUUUAAGAACUAAUUAAAGUAUCACUUGUCUCUUAGUUUGUGGAUCAAGAACAUAAUUUAAAUUUAGUUAUAUAUUUAAAAUUUGACUGAUUAACUGUACUUUAAGACGCAUUUAUUGAAAAGCUCCCAUAUCAAUACUAUCCUUU